GCGGGUGUAGCUCAAUGGUAGAGUCCCUGCCUUCCAAGCAGGCCGUGUGGGUUCGAUUCCCAUCACCCGCU
rnacentral:tRNA from 1 species